UGAAUAAAAAAAUUUAAAGAAAAAAAUAAUCACGCAGUUAAGAAUAAAACAGGAUAAAGAUAGGAUGGAAGAAUGCAUGUGUUUUUAAAUAGUGACAUCAUAGUGGUUCAAUAAAUGUUAGUGUUAUUACUGCUCAUACUCUAGUUAUCUGAUAUUGUAACAGCCUAGAAGAGAAAAGACAUACACAUUUCUCAUGUCCUUAGUACUAGAACCACUUUCUUGAGUAUUAUAAUAGAUGUGAUGAGUUAAGGAAUAAAAGAGAUACCAACUAUGUUGAAACUAGCCAGUCUACACAUAUUCAAUGACUACUUUAUGAUAAAAAGUUAUCCUAUGUAUUGUUAUGGUCUUCCAUUUUUGUCAUUUCCAGCAAGUCACACUCUUUAAUUUCCUGUUUUAUGUCCUGCAAUCCAACAACUACCAUUUAAAGGUUAUAAAAGUAUUUAAAGUAUUAAAAAGUUGUAAAAAUGUUUAAAACAUGAAAGAAAAAAAAAGGCAAAAAACAAAUUAUAAAGCCACAAGAGAAAUUGUAUCUUGACAAAUGAAAAAACUUUGUUAACAAAAAGUAUGGCUCAGCACAAAUGAAGUUAGGAAAAUAAAGAAUACUGAAUGUGAAAAUCUAUAUAGAUGGACAAAAACCCAGGCAUGCUCUUGUGCGUGUGUGGUCAUGUUGGUAAGAAUUAAAGAGUGAGACUUAGAGUUACUCCUGUUAACUUAUGAGACUAGGAGGCAUAGUCUCCCAGAAAAGUUCCUCUUCCUCUUGCUCCCAGAAUCCCUCAACACACACCUUUUCACAAUGUUCCCUUAGCCUUUGGUUGCAGGGGUGUUUUGUACACAUAUCCAAUGUGCUGGGCUUCACAACUCUUCAUUUUGAUUGAUUGUGGUUUUAUGCAAUUGUCUCUGUUGUAAAGAGAAGUCUGCCUGAUGAGGGGUAAGGGGUACACUUAUCUGUGGGUAUAAGAGCAAAUGAACAAGCAAGACACCAACCAACAUGCCAAACUGGACAGAGAGAAGCUCUUGAGGCCUUCAGGCCUACACAAAGAACUAGGGCAACAAAGUGAAAUUGGGAGCUGGAGAAGUGGUCCUCCACAAGGGAGAGCACACUGAUUGGUUGACCAGUGAUAAAUGUGCACAUGAUGAUGUACACAUGCAAUAACAAUUAUUGAAAAAAGAGGCCAUGAAUUUGAAGGACAGUGGGGAGGGACAUAUGGGAGGCUUUAGAGGGAGGAAAGGGAAGGGAGAAAUGUUGUAAAUAAAUUACAAUCUCAAAAAAAAAGAAAGAAAAACAAAACAAAACAAAAUCACCAACCUCAUGCAUGGCUGUAACUUCUCAAGAGUGUACCAGUUGACAAACCACAAUCCAUUGCAUACUUUUAAAGAAUAUUUAUUUCACAGCACUGCUGUUCAUGGCUGAAUCCCACUGUCUACAAACAGGAAGACAGAUGCACAGGAAAUUGUAUUUGCUAUGGAACUGUUUACAUCGAUCAUCACUUUCUUUUCAUGUUACUAGGCAGUCUGGUUAGAUUUUACAAUUAUUAAACUGUAGCUUUUAGUUUUCCAAAACAAUCAUUUUUUUUUCUCCUUGAUCUUCCUACAUCCUGACACACCCACAAAGACAAACAUUUUCAAAACCAUACUCACCUCUACUAGAUGCAUGGGAAAUGUUCUGAUAUCUACCUUAGCUAGUCAACUGACAUGCAAAGGGCUUAGUAUACUUUCAUUAAGUAUUUAGAAAUUUUGUAUUUGUCGUAUUUAGAAAAAUAUGUUUUCGUUAUAUGGCUUGUAAUUAUUCUACUUGUUGCUAUAAAGUACCUGUCUAGAAACAAUGUUACAGUCAACUAUGAUCUGGCCAUGUAAAAGGCUGAAGAAAUGUGGAAUUCUUGUGUUUUUGUGCUUUCUUCACCUCUUAAACAGUAAAACACUUCUUUCUUGUUAUUGUGAUUUUUUCAAUGUUAACAUUAAUUUUAAAAUGUGGCUCCCUCUAACAUAUCACUGCAAAAUAUGAUGUAAAAUGGAGAGCAAAAGGAAGAAUAGAAAAGGCAGGAAGCAAAGAUGGGACCUGGCUCAUUCAAUCUUGGAUAUUUGUUCUAUCUUGAAAAGUAUCGGCCAUUUCUUGCAGAUAUUCCUGAAUCUAUCAUUUUUCUUGCCAAAUAAAUGUUUAAUUAUUAGCAUAGAUCUGCCUUAAAUUUCUUUUGUACUUUCAGACUGCUCCUUUGAUUACCUGUCUCCCGGCUUCCUUUUCUGAUACUGUAUUUUAAAGAUCUGACUGCCUUGUUUAAAAGAGAAGCAAAGAGGGUUAUUUAGAUUAGGGCUUUCACUGUGGGUUUAUUUUGGUGUGGUUUGGUACCAGAUUUAAUGUGAAAAUGGUAUUUUGGGGUGUUUGAUUUGCAGAAAUAACUAGCUUAAAUGCUUCAGUUUCCAAUGGUAAUUAGAUUUCAACCCAGACAGUCUGGAUAACUCUGGAUUUACUACCUUGUAAAGAACUAUCAUAACAAGCCCUUGAGCAUUAUUUGAAAAUUAAUAAACUAAAGUAGGAGGAAGCACUUCACUUUCCCAUAGCAACAUAGACUGAGUUAUACUGUUUUAUUGCAAAAUUUACUUUUCAAUUAUAGGUUUACUAAAUUAAGUGGCUUGAAUAGCAUAAAAACAAUUAUUAGUUUCUUCACACUGCAGAUGACUAAUGCAAUGAGUCCAUUUUACUGUAAAAAAAAGAAAAAGGAAAGAAACCUCUUUUCUUUAAUAAAUAAAUAAAUCCUCCCCUUUAUUGCCUGAAAAUAAAUUCUAAGUCACAAAUAAUUCUUGCUUCUACUGUAUUAAUAGAAAGCCUUCUGUAUUUAAGUGGGGUUUCUAAAUUAGGUAAAAAAUAACUCACCCUAAAACCUUAUUUGCUAAAGUCUUUUCAAGUUUACAUUUUUAUUUUCUGAAAAAUGAAAUUUCAAGUAGAGCAGCUUAAUUGCUAACUUUUGCAAAUGUGCAAAAGAUUUGGCAAUCUGGAUUGGAGCUAAAUAACAAUUGCCACUGAUAAUUAUAUUAAAUUUAAAAGCUAAAAUUGUGCAUAAAUUGGGUUAAUUGCUCAGAAGAGAGUGAGGAAGACAAAACUACUUAACCUAAUUCUCGCCAUCACAGGGUGAGGUUGGAGAGCUGAUGUUAGUAUAUCCUGAUGGAGAAGAGUGCUAUAGUAAUCCUCUAACUACAAAGCCCAGGCAGGGGCUGUGUUAUAUAGCAUGUAAAUUUAAUGGCUGACUUCAUAUGAAUGACAGUGUGUGAGCACGUGUGUGCUUGUGAGUGUGUGAGAGUGUGUCUAUGAGUGUGAAUGUGUGUUGUGGAAUAGAAUUUGUUUAACCAUGUAAAGAUAUAUUGCAUUUGUUUGUGUUGCAGAAGAAUUAACUAUGUAAAGACGUUUGCUGUUUUACCUUGCUUGUCUAAGGCAUCUGAUUGGUCUAAUGAAAAGCUGAACAGCCAUUAGCUAGGCACAGGAGGGAUGAGCAGUCCUGGAAGACAGAGAGAAAAGGGGAGCCAGACAGACAGACUGGGAGGAAGUAUGAAAGUGGGCUGGACAGUACACAGAUGUGGUAAAUGAGUCUCCUCAGGGCAGCAUUAAUAGAAAUGGGAUAAUUUAAGAAACAAGCCCAAGCUAAGGCAGAGCAUUCAUAAUUAAUAAUAAGUCUCUGUGUCAUGAUUUAGAGGCUAGCAGUCCAAGUAAGCCUGCUUCAAGUAUGCGUGUAAGUGUGUAUGUUUGUGUGUGUCAUGUGUGUGUCAAUGUAUGUGUUUGUGUGUAUAUGUGCAUGUGUGUGUGUGUGUGUGUGUGAGUGUUUGUGUUUUAGAACCUGGAGAAGGAGCAAGAGUCAUAUUCUGAAGAGAUUCCAAAAGAAUAAUCAACAACAACACCACCACAAAAGAUCAAUAUUUCCUCCUAUAUCUGUCCUCCCAGCUGAACUAAAUCUCAACACAUUUAUUCUUUUAUACUUUACAGCAUGAUGAAAAUGAAAGGGCUUUGCCCAAAUACCCAUGCUUUAAAUUUUAGUUCCAAAAGUUCCAAGGAAUGUCAUACUUGUCAAGUCCAUUCUCUGAUUUUUACCUUAGUUUUCUCCUUUACUAAAUGAAUGUGAUCUUCAAGAAUUGCUGCAAGAAUUAUAUGAGUUCUUAGACAUCUAAAUGGUACCUAAAUACCCUGGUCAGGAUAGCAGAGCCUAUGCCCAAGUCACUGAUUUUUGGAGAAAAAUCCUCAUGCUUUAAACUGUUUUUAUAUUACUUAAGGCAUGUUUCAUAUGUUUAAGUCUCUAAGUCCUCAAGUAAUCAAUUUAGUGGUAGUAAAUCAAAAAUGGGAAAAAGAGAGUUGAGAAAACAAGCAAAAGGAACAGAAAGUUUUACCUAUUAAAUAGGAAGUCUCUAAGCUGUUCAGUUUAGCGAUUUUAGUUCUGAAGGCACUGAAAGUGAACAAAGGCAAUGCCUAAGUACGUGUUCCUAUUUCAACAGGAAAAGACGCUGACGAAUGGAAAGCAAUCAAUAAAUCAAGUCAAAAUACAUGGCUAUGAAUCAUCAAUAUACGAGUACAACUCUCAGUGAAGAAUACACAGCUAAAGAUUUCCUGCUGUGGAUAUCACUGUGUAUAAAUAAAAUGCUGAUUGGCCAGUAGCCAGACAGGAAGUAUAGGCGGGACAAGCAGAGAAGAGAAUUCUGGGAAGUGGAGGCUGAAGCAGGGAGACACUGUCAGGCACCAUGAGGAGAAGCAACAUGUUAAGAUACCGUCCCUUCCCCCAUCCUCCCCUCUCCACACCCCACCCUUCCACUCCUUCUCCUUUCUCUUGAGAAAAGUGCCAGCCUAUCAUGGAUAUCAGCCACCCACGGCAUGCCGAGUUCCAGGGAGACUAGGCACCUCCUCUCCUGUUAAGGCUGGACAACGCAACCCAGUAGGAGGAAAGGGUUCAAAACGCAGGAUUCCCCUAUGUCACCUAAUGUUUGGCUGUGGUCUCCGCAUCAAGUCCUGGGUGAAGUCUCUCUGAUAACUGUUGGACUAGGCAAUGAUCUGUGAAUAUAGCAGAGCAUCAUUAGGAAUCAUUUCACUGACAUUUUUCUCUUUUUGCCAGUCAUGUUUAGCUCUACCCUAGGUCUCUGGGUUAUCCAGCCUCCGGGUCCUGGCCCUUCAAGCUGUGUCAGGGUUGGGCUCCGUCUCAUAGUGUGCAUCUCAAGCCGGACCAGUCAUUAGGUAGCCAUGCCCAUGACUUCAGUGCCCCCUUUGUUCCAUCAAUUGUAGGUCAGAGGUUAUGUGGCUAGGUUGGGGGUCUCAAUCCAUCCACUGGAAGUCUUGCCUGGUUACAGAAGAUGGCUGUUUCAGGCUCCAUGUUUCCCAUUGCUAGGAGUCUUAGCUAGGGUCACCAUCACAGAUUCCUGAGAGUUUCCAUUGCACUGGGUUUCUAACUCAUCCCAGAGGUGCCCCUGAUUCCAAUUAGAAAGAUGACCACUCUUGAUAGCAAUUGCUUAUUUUACUAAAGUAUAUAAAACUACAGUCUUCCAUGCUAGGGGAUCUCCUUACUUGAAAGUCAGCAGAAAGGAUAUUUCAUAUUUAAGGCUGAAAUCAACUCCAAGCAGCAGCAACCUUAACACAGCUUCAGACUUGUACAAAAGUAAUCAACUCCUCCAGUGUCUGUACGGGUAAGAGUUGAUAAGCCAGAGUAUCCAUAUCACAGGCCUUUCCUCCAUCAUCAAAAAAAAAAAUCAAACUUUCUUUCAAACUUCCUUUGAAAAAGUGUUCUCUUAACUAAACAGCAAUUGUAAUUCAUAUUAAGCAGUGUUAUAAAAGGAUUUUAGACAACCAGGCAGCCUUGAUUUUUUUUUUUUUGUCUACCAACAUGAAAUGACUCAAUGUAUAAAAUCCAUGUUUGCAAAUACUUUUAUAUUUAAUUUAAUUGUUAGCACUAUGCUUAGUGAUAUAAGGUCCUUCUAAUGUAUUGUGAAAUUCAUGGUUGCCUUGUACUUGGCUCAGAACCUCCCCAACGUAACCAAAAAAGCAAAACAAUGCUAAAGUUUCUUGUUAAAAGAACUAGUUACUAAAUCUUCCCGUUGCAGUGCCAUACAUAGACAUAAGAUUCGCACAGCUUAGAUGUCCAAGUUGGAUCAGCCAGAUGUUGCACUAGAGGACAGAGACCACAAAAUAUAAUAAAUUAACAUCUACUUAAACCAGUCUUGAGAAUUAAGGAGAAUAGCUGGAAGAUGCUAUAUUUGAGAAAUGUCAUCACCCAGAAACCAGACUCUAAAAUUUAUGAAGAGAUGAUCCACAAGAUAAAUGUUGAACAGUUGUGAUCAGAAUGGACAUUCUAGAAAGUCUGUCCUCCAUGGAUAUUCUCUUAGUAUGACGUUUUUGUUUGUUUGUCUGUUGUUUGUUUUUUAGUUUACUUCAAUACUUUAAUUCAGAUUAAACACCCGAAGACAAAGCUCAUCAGUUGGCUUAUACAACCUUCAGUAUGGCUUGACUAUGAAAACUGUAGGUAGCCUUUAUACCAUAGAGAAAAUAAUAGUUUCUUCUGGAAGGUAGAGAUCUGUCAGUCCACUUUAUUAUGAAGCAAGCUUGGAAAAGAAAAUGAUGUGUAAGCUAAUGAAAGCACAAAUAAUUGCACUGGACAUUUUUAUGCUGCCACCAGACCUUUGGUAGGCUAUAUAAACUGAUCUUAAUUUUGUUAUACUGACCCCUUAAGGCACUUCCUAUUGUAAAAUACUCUAUUAAGAAUUGGUCUACAUUUGGAAAGCAAUAAUAUUAAGUUUGUUACAGCUUUUUGCAGUUCAGGCAUUAAUUUAGAUUGUGUAAUCCUCUUAUGAUUUUAAUGGGUAAAAGCUAUUUUAAGAAUUUUUGCAAGCAAAGUAUAUAGGUAUACUUAGAAAAGAAUUUCUCUUUGAGGCCCUUUAAAUAAAGAUAUUUAUGUUAAAUUGAUUCAUGUUAAAAAUGUAACACACCCAGUCAGAAAGCCUUAACAAGACAGGUUCCUCUGUAAGGUAGUAUUAUUAUUCAACCUUGGCUCCAGAGUCUUGAUUUUAAAAGCCAAGUUUGGUCUAUCUCUUAUGAAUAUGUAACAAUAUUUUUAGGACUGUUAAAGAAUGUUAUAUUUUUAUGGGAAAAAUUAGCAAAAACAAUAAACAAAGUAUUUUUAAAAAUCUCAUUAUCCUCAUAAUAGAAUUUAUCCUGAAUUUAUAUUUUAAUAUGACAAUAUAUCCUGUCAAUAAAAAACAGGUUGAAAGCUAA